UACGUAGGGUGCAAGCGUUGUCCGGAAUUAUUGGGCGUAAAGAGCUCGUAGGCGGUCUGUCGCGUCUGCUGUGAAAACCCGCAGCUCAACUGUGGGCUUGCAGCUGAUACGGGCAGGCUUGAGUUCGGUAGGGGAGACUGGAAUUCCUGGUGUAGCGGUGAAAUGCGCAGAUAUCAGGAGGAACACCGGUGGCGAAGGCGGGUCUCUGGGCCGAUACUGACGCUGAGGAGCGAAAGCGUGGGGAGCGAACAGG
rnacentral:rRNA from 1 species